UACGUAGGGUGCGAGCGUUAAUCGGAAUUACUGGGCGUAAAGCGUGCGCAGGCGGUUAUGUAAGACAGAGGCGAAAUCCCCGGGCUCAACCUGGGAACUGCCCUUGUGACUGCAUGACUAGAGUACGGCAGAGGGGGAUGGAAUUCCGCGUGUAGCAGUGAAAUGCGUAGAUAUGCGGAGGAACACCGAUGGCGAAGGCAAUCCCCUGGGCCUGUACCGACGCUCAUGCACGAAAGCGUGGGGAGCAAACAGG
rnacentral:rRNA from 1 species